GAUGAACGCUGGCGGCGUGCCUAAUACAUGCAAGUCGAGCGAACGGACGAGAAGCUUGCUUCUCUGAUGUUAGCGGCGGACGGGUGAGUAACACGUGGAUAACCUACCUAUAAGACUGGGAUAACUUCGGGAAACCGUAGCUAAUACCGGAUCAUAUUUUGAACCGCAUGGUUCAAAAGUGAAAGACGGUCUUGCUGUCACUUAUAGAUGGAUCCGCGCUGCAUUAGCUAGUUGGUAAGGUAACGGCUUACCAAGGCAACGAUGCAUAGCCGACCUGAGAGGGUGAUCGGCCACACUGGAACUGAGACACGGUCCAGACUCCUACGGGAGGCAGCAGUAGGGAAUCUUCCGCAAUGGGCGAAAGCCUGACGGAGCAACGCCGCGUGAGUGAUGAAGGUCUUCGGAUCGUAAAACUCUGUUAUUAGGGAAGAACAGAUGUGUAAGUAACUGUGCACAUCUUGACGGUACCUAAUCAGAAAGCCACGGCUAACUUCGUG
rnacentral:rRNA from 1 species